rnacentral:lncRNA from 1 species
UAUCAGAAGCCCUGUGGGGUGGUUCUUGGCUCUGGCCUGGAUAAAACGUCCUUUUAAGGAUGUGAAGAAACUAUAUAUUAUUUUUAUUUCAAAGCAUGUAUUCAAUCGUUCUUUUUGUCAUUUUCACAUAAAGUCCUAACAAAAUUUUUCUCAGUAUUUUUCAGUGUCUGCCCUUGGAAUGAAUGGAUCUCAAGGCCAGAGCCUGGAAACACUAGAUACCACACCAACUAUCAACAAUGAGUGCUAUGUGUCUGGAGUGAACAGAGAGAGGGAAGGUCGUAGGCUGUCAUGUGAUCGUUCUGGUGUGCACUGUAUUUGAGGCCUGCACCGACAGGUGCCAGCUAAGGCACAAUUCCAGGAGCUGGGGCCCAACCAGCAUGGCUGACCUCUCACCCUGGCCUCUCAGCCUUCUGACUGAUUGAACACCCUGUAAUCUCAUUAACCCUACUUUCUCCAUCUAUAAAAGAAGGUAACAGAAUGAACUCUUCCUGUUUCAUACGAUUAUUGUGAAGAUGAACACUG